rnacentral:rRNA from 1 species
GAACCGCAGCGGUAAUCGUCUGUUAGGGGGUCACGAGCGGCGAACGCUUGAGUAAGACGUGGUUUAUCUGCCCUGCCUUCGGGAUAAGCCUGGUAAACUGGGUCUAAUACCGCAUAUGACCUCUGGUUUCAUGACUUGGGGUGGAAAGAUUUAUCGGUGCAGGAUGGGCCCGCGGCCUAUCAGCUUGUUGGUGGGGUAAUGGCCUACCAAGGCGACGACGGGUAGCCGACCUGAGAGGGUGACCGGCCACACUGGGACUGAGACACGGCCCACACUCCUACGGGAGACAGCAGUGGGGAAUAUUGCACAAUGGGCGAAAGCCUGAUGCAGCGACGCCGCGUGAGGGAUGACGGCCUUCGGGUUGUAAACCUCUUUCAGCAGGGACGAAGCGCAAGUGACGGUACCUGCAGAAGAAGCACCGGCUAACUACGUGCCAGCAGCCGCGGUAAUACGUAGGGUGCAAGCGUUGUCCGGAAUUACUGGGCGUAAAGAGUUCGUAGGCGGUUUGUCGCGUCGUUUGUGAAAACCAGCAGCUCAACUGCUGGCUUGCAGGCGAUACGGGCAGACUUGAGUACUGCAGGGGAGACUGGAAUUCCUGGUGUAGCGGUGAAAUGCGCAGAUAUCAGGAGGAACACCGGUGGCGAAGGCGGGUCUCUGGGCAGUAACUGACGCUGAGGAACGAAAGCGUGGGUACCGAACAGGAUUAGAUACCCUGGUAGUCCACGCCGUAAACGGUGCGCGCUAGGUGUGGGUUCCUUCCACGGAAUCCGUGCCGUAUCUAACGCAUUAAGCGCCCCGCCUGGGGAGUACGGUCGCGUCGCUAAACUCAAAGGAAUUGACGGGGGCCCGCACAGCGGUCGGAUCAUGUGGAUUAAUUCGAUGCAACGCGAAGAACCUUCCCUGGGUUUGACAUAUACGGAACAGCUGCAGAUAUGUAGCCCCCCGUUGUGGUCGGUAUACAGGUAGUUGCAUGUCUGUCAGUCAGCUCGAGUCGUGAGAUGUUGGGUUAAGUCCCGCAACGAGCGCAACCCCUAUCUUAUGUUGCCAGCACGUUAUGGUGGGGACUCGUAAGAGACUGCCGGGGUCAACUCGGAGGAAGGUGGGGAGGAAGUCAAGUCAUCAUGCCCGUUAUGUCCAGGCCUUCACACAUGCUACAAUGGCCAGUACAGAGGGCUGCGAGACCCCGAGGUGGAGCGAAUCCCUUAAAGCUGGUCUCAGUUCGGAUCGGGGUCUGCAACUCGACCCCGUGAAGUCGGAGUCGCUAGUAAUAUCAGAUCAGCAACGCUGCGGUGAAUACGUUCCCGGGCCUUGUACACACCGCCCGUCCACGUCGAUACAAGUCGGUAACACCGGAAGCGCGCCCGGGUGAAAUGCCAUCACCGCGCUUGCGGAAAA